GGGGAUGUGGCUCAGAGGUAGAGUGCAUGCCUAGCCUGCCUGAGGCACUGAGUUCCAUCCUCAGCACCACA
rnacentral:tRNA from 1 species